rnacentral:rRNA from 1 species
GAUGAACGCUGGCGGCGUGCCUAAUACAUGCAAGUCGAGCGAACAGACGAGGAGCUUGCUCCUCUGACGUUAGCGGAGGACGGGUGAGUAACACGUGGAUACCCUACCUAUAAGACUGGGAUAACUUCGGGAAACCGGCGCUAAUACCGGAUAAUAUCUUGCACCGCAUGGUUCAAUAGUGAAAGACGGUUUUGCUGUCACUUCUCGAUGGAUCCGCGCCGCAUUAGCUAGUUGGUAAGGUAACGGCUUACCAAGGCAACGAUGCGUAGCCGACCUGAGAGGGUGAUCGGCCACACUGGAACUGAGACACGGUCCAGACUCCUACGGGAGGCAGCAGUAGGGAAUCUUCCGCAAUGGGCGAAAGCUUGACGGAGCAACGCCGCGUGAGUGAUGAAGGUCUUCGGAUCGUAAAACUCUGUUAUUAGGGAAGAACAAAUGUGUAAGUAACUAUGCACGUCUUGACGGUACCUAAUCAGAAAGCCACGGCUAACUACGUG